UAUAGCUCAAUGGGAGAGUGCACACUUAGCAUGCGUGAUGUCCUGGGUUCAAUACCCAGUA
rnacentral:tRNA from 1 species